rnacentral:rRNA from 1 species
AAACCAGCACCUCAAGUGGUCAGGAUGAUUAUUGGGCCUAAAGCAUCCGUAGCCUGCUCUGUAAGUUUUCGGUUAAAUCUGUACGCUCAACGUACAGGCUGCCGGGAAUACUGCAGAGCUAGGGAGUGGGAGAGGUAGACGGUACUCGGGAGGAAGUGGUAAAAUGCUUUGAUCUCUCGAUGACCACCUGUGGCGAAGGCGGUCUACCAGAACACGUCCGACGGUGCGGGAUGAAAGCUGGGGGAGCAAACCGGAUUAGAAACCCCAGUAGUCC